UACGUAGGGUGCAAGCGUUGUCCGGAAUUAUUGGGCGUAAAGAGCUCGUAGGCGGUUUGUCGCGUCUGCUGUGAAAACUCAGGGCUUAACCCUGAGCCUGCAGUGGGUACGGGCAGACUAGAGUGUGGUAGGGGAGAUCGGAAUUCCUGGUGUAGCGGUGGAAUGCGCAGAUACCAGGAGGAACACCGGUGGCGAAGGCGGAUCUCUGGGCCAUAACUGACGCUGAGGAGCGAAAGCAUGGAGAGCGAACAGG
rnacentral:rRNA from 1 species